CUUGGAGCCAUCACAAAGUCUCACCCGUUUUCACCAAGCGCUAGGGUUUGCACAGCCGCCGCCGUUCAACGACUGCCGUUUUCUUUCUGAGAGUGCUGCUUGCAAUCAAACAAGAGAAUACGUUGGGGAGUUUCUGAAGAGAUGUGAGAAGUUCAAGCUUUCAAAAACUACGUUGCUAAAUAUCAUUAACUUGAGGUCAUCCAGCCAACCUCUGAUUUACUCGCUGCAGUAUUGAAGAAAAACUUUCUUCUUUGGGAUCAUCAUGGAUCUUGGUUGACCAUCAGCUUCAAAGCACAGCUGCAAGAGAAUCAAUUGAAGGGGGUACAACAGAGAACAAACAAUCUCUGCUACAUGUAAUGUACUUCUUUUGUGAAAAUUAUGUGUAUAUAUUCUUGUUUCCUUCUGCUACAAGCAGGGAAGAGAAUGCCAUGCUUUCUCUUCUAACCCAAGAGCAAAAUCCAGUCUUGUGUAGUGUGUAAGUCAAGCAAAACUUCACAGAAAUUGAUGUAUUUGAUUUUUUUUAUUCAAA